rnacentral:lncRNA from 1 species
CGCUGCCAGCAGCUUCCGCCUGCUGCGGUCCUGGCAAGCACCUCGGGAUCUCAUUCCUUCACAGGGGCCCUAGCCGGCUGAGGCCUCCGAACCCUUCCCUAGCUGGAUUUGGGGACAGAGGAGCGCUGUUAAAGCUGAUACAUUCCUGUGGGUCAACUAUGCAACUAACUCAGAUUUUGAGCAAACAAAGCUCUCAAGUUGGUGAUCCUCAGGAGUCUCUGCAUUAGUUGGACAGCUCUUCUGGAAUUAUCUUCUAAGUCAACUGUGGGUUGGGUAGGUGGCUCUGCUGAUUUUUUGCUGGACUUCCACAUUUGGGACCAGUUGGCUGUCAUCAGCUCUAGAAAGGGUGUGGCUGUUUUACAUUGGCUGUUUUCCUCACAUUCCUCAAGCAGGUACUGUAAUAAAGAACUGGAGAAAUAAAGUCAGAUGGGAAGUAGCCCCUGCUGUCAAGGAGCUUGCCAUCUAAUGGGGGAGACAGGCAAGUAAACCAAAGACUACACAGUGCAGUAUGGUAAGUGCCAUGAUUUUGAUAUGACAGGGCACAGUGGAAGACCUUCCAAAUCAAAGCAAGUAAGUAAGGGUUGACAAUGGUAAGUAUCAUAGUUGAAGUAUCCUUGAACAAGGUUUCAGGAAGAAGAAUAAGGGAAUUUCAUGCAGGGAAACAGCCAAAGCUCAGUGAGUCAAAAUAUCACAGCAUUCUUGGUAAGCCCAAUUUUUUUUUCUGUUUUGCUAUUUUGGUGGAGAGAAAGGAA